rnacentral:snRNA from 1 species
AGCUUUGCGCAGAGGCAGUGUCAUAGCCCGUGAGGUUCUACCGAGGCGUGACUAUUGCUAGUUGAAAACCCUUCUGUACAGUAGUCAGCAUCGCUAACCAAUAUUCUAGUUAGACGGCAGAUAUAAGUGUCUUCAACCUUAUGGAGAUCAGUUUUUGAUUUGUAAAAAGUAAC